UAAGAUUAAGCCAUGCAUGUCUCAGUACUUGCCGAAAUAAGGCGAAACCGCGAAUGGCUCAUUAAAUCAGUUAUGGUUUACCCGACAGUACCAGUACAUGGAUAACUGUGGUAAUUCUAGAGCUAAUACAUGCAGCAAUCCCUGAUCCUUUUGGACACGGGAGCAGUUAUUAGAUCAAAACCAAUCGGCUGUGCUUUCGGGUACGGCCGCUCAUUUGGUGACUCUGAGUAACCACAGCAAACCGCAUGGCCUUUGUGCCUGGCGGUCUGUCGGUCAAGCAACUGCCUUAUCAGCUUGUCGUUAGGUUAUAUGCCUAACGAGGCGUCAACGGGUAACGAACGAUCGGGGUCGGACAUCGGAGAGGGAGCCUGAGAAACGGCUACCACAUCCAAGA
rnacentral:rRNA from 1 species